ACGGGUGAGUAACGCGUGGGAACGUACCUUUUGGUUCGGAACAACUGAGGGAAACUUCAGCUAAUACCGGAUAAGCCCUUACGGGGAAAGAUUUAUCGCCGAAAGAUCGGCCCGCGUCUGAUUAGCUAGUUGGUGAGGUAAUGGCUCACCAAGGCGACGAUCAGUAGCUGGUCUGAGAGGAUGAUCUGCCACAUUGGGACUGAGACACGGCCCAAACUCCUACGGGAGGCAGCAGUGGGGAAUAUUGGACAAUGGGCGAAAGCCUGAUCCAGCCAUGCCGCGUGAGUGAUGAAGGCCCUAGGGUUGUAAAGCUCUUUUGUGCGGGAAGAUAAUGACGGUACCGCAAGAAUAAGCCCCGGCUAACUUCGUGCCAGCAGCCGCGGUAAUACGAAGGGGGCUAGCGUUGCUCGGAAUCACUGGGCGUAAAGGGUGCGUAGGCGGGUUCUUAAGUCAGAGGUGAAAUCCUGGAGCUCAACUCCAGAACUGCCUUUGAUACUGAGAGUCUUGAGUAUGACAGAGGUGAGUGGAACUGCGAGUGUAGAGGUGAAAUUCGUAGA
rnacentral:rRNA from 1 species